rnacentral:rRNA from 1 species
AUUGAACGCUGGCGGCAGGCCUAACACAUGCAAGUCGAGCGAGCGGCGGACGGGUGAGUAAUGCCUGGGAAUUGCCCAGUCGAGGGGGAUAACAGUUGGAAACUAGCGCUAAUACCGUAAACGAUUGGAUUGCCCAGGUGGGAUUAGCUAGUUGGUGGGGUAAUGGCUCACCAAGGCGACGCCCCCUAGCUGGUCUGAGAGGAUGAUCAGCCACACUGGAACUGAGACACGGUCCAGACUCCUACGGGAGGCAGCAGUGGGGAAUAUUGCACAAUGGGGGAAACCCUGAUGCAGCCAUGCCGCGUGUAUGAAGAAGGCCUUCGGGUUGUAAAGCACUUUCAGCGGGGAGGCGUUACUCGCAGAAGAAGCACCGGCUAACUCCGUGCCAGCCGCCGCGGUAAUAC